rnacentral:rRNA from 1 species
GGAAGGAUCAUUAUUGAAUGAACUUGGUGUGGUUGUUGCUGGCCCUCUCGGGGGCAUGUGCACACCCACCAUCCUCAUCUCUCCACCUGUGCACCUCUUGUAGACCUGGAUUGACUUUCCGAGGCAACUCGGUCGGGAAGAUUGCUGCGCUCUGUGAGCCAGCUUUCUUUGCAUGUCCAGGCCUAUGUUUUUCAUAUACCCCUAUAGAAUGUAACAGAAUGUAUCAUUGGGCCUUGUGCCUAUAAACCUUAUACAACUUUCAGCAACGGAUCUCUUGGCUCUCGCAUCGAUGAAGAACGCAGCGAAAUGCGAUAAGUAAUGUGAAUUGCAGAAUUCAGUGAAUCAUCGAAUCUUUGAACGCACCUUGCGCUCCUUGGUAUUCCGAGGAGCAUGCCUGUUUGAGUGUCAUUAAAUUCUCAACCUUAUUAACUUUUGUUGAUAAUGGAUUGGAUUGUGGGGGUUUCUUUUGCUGGCUUCUUCACAGAGAUCAGCUCCCCUUAAAUGCAUUAGCUGGUGCCCCGCGUGGACCAUCUAUUGGUGUGAUAAUUAUCUACGCCGUGGAUGUCUGCAAUCAUAUGGGUUUCGCACUGCUUCUAACCGUCUGUUCAUUCGGACAAUACAUGACAAUUUGACCUCAAAUCAGG